ACCAGUUGUAAACUAUAGCAAGCAAUCCUGCGGGCGGCUUCGGCUGCUCGUGGGUAACAUGGAUAACCCUGGUAAUUCUGAGGCUAAUACAAGAACGUACUCCCUGGCUGACCGGCAACGGAAGGCUGGGGAGCGUGCAACGUAUCGUAGGGAUAAACCGGGAAUGGGUGCACGCUUGGACCGCGCUAAAGACAGAUCUCGGCGAGCCUUCGGGUGAGCCUUGGCCUGAGCGGCUCUUGCUGUGUGCUUCUGACCUAUCAACUAGACGGCAGCGUAAGGGACAUGCUAUGGUUACAACGGGUACAGAGGAUUAGGGUUCGAUCCUGGAGAGUGGGCCUGAGAGAUU
rnacentral:rRNA from 1 species